UACGGGGGGGGCAAGCGUUGUUCGGAAUUACUGGGCGUAAAGGGCUCGUAGGCGGCCAACUAAGUCAGACGUGAAAUCCCUCGGCUUAACCGGGGAACUGCGUCUGAUACUGGUUGGCUUGAAUCCGGGAGAGGGAUGUGGAAUUCCAGGUGUAGCGGUGAAAUGCGUAGAUAUCUGGAGGAACACCGGUGGCGAAGGCGGCAUCCUGGACCGGUAUUGACGCUGAGGUGCGAAAGCGUGGGGAGCAAACAGG
rnacentral:rRNA from 1 species